rnacentral:rRNA from 1 species
CCCUUAGAUGUCCUGGGCCGCACGCGCGUUACACUGAUGCAUUCAACGAGCUUAUAACCUUGGCCGAGAGGCCUGGGCAAUCUUGUUAACGUGCAUCGUGAUAGGGAUAGAUUAUUGAAAUUAUUAAUCUUGAACGAGGAAUUCCUAGUAAACGCAGAUCAUCAAUCUGCAUUGAUUACGUCCCUGCCCUUUGUACACACCGCCCGUCGCACCUACCGAUUGGAUGGUCCGGUGAAGCCUCGGGAUUGUGGUUCUUGCCGCUUUAUUGUAGCGUGACCGCGAGAACUUGUCUAAACCUGAUCAUCUAGAGGAAGGUGAAGUCGUAACA